rnacentral:lncRNA from 1 species
AUGGCAGCAGGAUUUCAAUCUGCUCCUGAAAGGCCAGCCACAGGUUCAGAGGCAGCAAAGGUUCUCCCUUCAAAAGUCAAACAACAAAAAAAGUCUUCUUUGAAUCCAACUCUGGAGGUAAAAAUGCUUAAACAGUUGAGGACACCACAGUCUCAACUCGAACCUGUUCCUGUUCAUGUUAAUGGACAGCCACUUACAGAUCUGUGUGAUGUAUGGCCAAGACCCCAAGCCCUGAGAGUUCAUCUUUGUGUUGUCAGCUGGGAUUCCAAAUCUGUCUCCUCAACCCUUAUGCAACAGGGGUGUUGGACCCUGGCAAUUUCAUGCAUUUCAUGCAGCAGCUAUUACUUUCCUUGUUUCUGAAAAGCUACAAACAAACAAAAACGUUAAGAGAAAACAGUCUAUCUGUUUGGAAGCUGUAGUGAAGACAAUAUGUGUUUUUUUUUAAUACCUUGAAAAUGUGAUAACUGUGCUCUCCAGGCAGAAACCAGCUAGUAACAUAGUUUUGUGAUCAUUCAAGAAAGUAUUAGGCAUUUUUAAAUUUUUGGAGAUUUUAUAGAUUUUAUAUAUAUAAUCUGUCACUGAAAGAUAACUUUCUACUUGAGUUCAAUUCAUCAAGUUUCUGUAAACAGCUUAUGACCAAUGCAAAACCCACCAAUAACACUACCUCUUCACAGUGAGCAUUGAAGUUCAGUGCGUAUAACAGCGCACUUACAACUUGGGUGGGUUCUGCCCAAAUUCAGUUUACACUUUAACCUAAAUCCAUCAAGUGCAGAGUACAUGAAAUUGUCAAAAUUUACAAUGAUAGGCUCACUGUGAAAUGAGCAUUGUACUACUGCUGUACAGUGCUGGGGCUCCUUUCUAGGAGCUAGGCCAAACUAUUAGCCCUUAAUUGAAUGUGUAGUGUCCAUUCACUGUGUCAACACUAAAGUAUUUUGAGUAAUAGGAUGAGUUGGCUUUGGCUUCUUUUCAUUGGCUGGACCACAUCUGGAUAUGUGAAGCAAUGCUUUACAUUAUGAGGUAGAGGCUGAGGGAAUAAAGUCAGGCUACAGAGAUACA